rnacentral:rRNA from 1 species
UCCAGAGGGUGCGAGCGUUAAUCGGAAUUACUGGGCGUAAAGCGCACGUAGGUGGCGACGUAAGUCGGGUGUGAAAGCCCCGGGCUCAACCUGGGAAUUGCAUUCGAGACUGCAUUGCUCGAGUACGGAAGAGGAAGGCGGAAUUCCCGGUGUAGCGGUGAAAUGCGUAGAUAUCGGGAGGAACAUCAGUGGCGAAGGCGGCCUUCUGGUCCAGUACUGACACUCAAGUGCGAAAGCGUGGGGAGCAAACAGG